UCUAUCUUACACUUCUGGUAUUAAGAUAUUAAGAUAGGAUGUUCUGGAGAGUGUCAAAGAGCUGUGUUCUGCAUGUGUUCUCUGCCUCAGAAAAAGAGAGCUGCUUCUGCUUGGCUGAUUGUGACCUGUCAGAUACCUGCUUGGGUCAUCAAUAACAAGAAAGGACUGGUGGGCCUGAAUAGACAGACUGGUCAUGACCUUGCUGGAAUUACCACAAGCUGGGCAAAGUGCCAAAUCUUAUUGCAAUGAGUGGUCUUAUCCUGGGUUAUGAUAGAAAGAUGAUGAUGGACUGCACUCCCUAACUAUCCUGGGAGCUACCUGCUGUCUGAUAUUUUUGUACAGUCUCUCAUUUCUUCUCUCAGCUUGCCUUUUAUCCUUAGAGAUUGGAAAGGAUCCUUCAUAAGCUAUUGCUCUGUGUUCUGCUGACCACGAGGUGUGCUGCAGGGAUGGGGAAAGGAAAGUAGACAUGUCGGCAUUUGCACCUGCAAGUGAAGAAACUAAAGGAAGCACAAGUGGCAGAACUACUGUGGAUCAGGUGACAGCCCAAGAGAGGCCCAGCCAGCCCCCAGUCUGGCUCUCCACUCAUGUUGGAGAAUGUUGUGGAUGAUCCCAGGCACCCCUUUUGCUUCCUUCGAUCGCUGCAUCCUGAAGGAGAGAAGGCCGCAUCUUCCAUGGGAUGUGCCAUAGGACAGGAUGGUGGGCAUCGACGAGUGCUGUGAAAAGGGUUCAAAAUCCACAUCCUGAGUGCAGAAGGCAUGGAAGGAGCUGCAUGCCUACCUCUGGAAGCAGGUGAUGAUGCUUAAAAUUCUGAUGGCUGAAUAACUGGGCCAAAUCCAUGCUGAUCUCCAUGGUCAAGGAGAUUCAUGGAGCAAGAAAGCAGCAUAAACUCAAGCUGCACAACCUGAAUGCAAUUUAUUAGCACACACUGCUAAAGACACAGUCCAAACAAAGGUCCACAAACUCAUGCCAAUUUUUCUUAUACAACUUGGUGGAUUAGUUUUGCAAUAUGUGUUUUUAAGGGGUGGUGUUAUGGCAGAUCCCUUUACCAUAAGUAAAUAAACAACAACCCUUUUCUUAAUUUUGUCCAUUGCUGACCUUCUCUGUGAGUGUAUGUGCUUGUUUAAGAGGAUUGUUUUUGCUCUAGUCCUUCCUGUCUUCCCUUUUCAACAACAGCAACAUUAGCUAUGAAACUGCUUGUUGACAUGCACAGUUCUUGACCUGGAACAGACAUUUUCAAGCUUUUAUCGAAGUGAUAGAAAGCUCC